rnacentral:rRNA from 1 species
AGUGAACGCUGGCGGUAGGCCUAACACAUGCAAGUCGAACGGCAGCACAGUAAGAGCUUGCUCUUACGGGUGGCGAGUGGCGGACGGGUGAGGAAUACAUCGGAAUCUACUUUUUCGUGGGGGAUAACGUAGGGAAACUUACGCUAAUACCGCAUACGACCUACGGGUGAAAGCAGGGGAUCUUCGGACCUUGCGCGAUUGAAUGAGCCGAUGUCGGAUUAGCUAGUUGGCGGGGUAAAGGCCCACCAAGGCGACGAUCCGUAGCUGGUCUGAGAGGAUGAUCAGCCACACUGGAACUGAGACACGGUCCAGACUCCUACGGGAGGCAGCAGUGGGGAAUAUUGGACAAUGGGCGCAAGCCUGGUCCAGCCAUACCGCGUGGGUGAAGAAGGCCUUCGGGUUGUAAAGCCCUUUUGUUGGGAAAGAAAAGCAGCAGGUUAAUACCCCGCUGUUCUGACGGUACCCAAAGAAUAAGCAUCGGCUAACUUCGUG